CCUACGGGAGGCAGCAGUGAGGAAUAUUGGUCAAUGGUCGGGAGACUGAACCAGCCAAGCCGCGUGAGGGAUGAAGGUACAGAGUAUCGUAAACCUCUUUUGUCAGGGAACAAAGGCGGGGACGUGUCCCGGGCUGAGUGUACCUGAAGAAAAAGCAUCGGCUAACUCCGUGCCAGCAGCCGCGGUAAUACGGAGGAUCCGAGCGUUAUCCGGAUUUAUUGGGUUUAAAGGGUGCGUAGGCGGCGUUUUAAGUCAGCGGUGAAAGUCUGUGGCUCAACCAUAGAAUUGCCGUUGAAACUGGGAGGCUUGAGUAUGUUUGAGGCAGGCGGAAUGCGUGGUGUAGCGGUGAAAUGCUUAGAUAUCACGCAGAACCCCGAUUGCGAAGGCAGCCUACCAAGCCAUGACUGACGCUGAUGCACGAAAGCGUGGGGAUCAAACAGGAUUAGAUACCCGGGUAGUC
rnacentral:rRNA from 1 species